rnacentral:rRNA from 1 species
AGCAGUAGCCGCGGGAAUACGGAGGGGGCUAGCGUUGUUCGGAAUUACUGGGCGUAAAGCGCACGUAGGCGGCUUUGUAAGUUAGAGGUGAAAGCCUGGGGCUCAACUCCAGAAUUGCCUUUAAGACUGCAUCGCUUGAACGUCGGAGAGGUGAGUGGAAUUCCGAGUGUAGAGGUGAAAUUCGUAGAUAUUCGGAAGAACAUCAGUGGCGAAGGCGGCCAUCUGGGACAACACUGACGCUGAAGCACGAAAGCGUGGGGAGCAAACAGGAUUAGAUACCCCCGUAGUCCCUGUCUCUUAUAC